rnacentral:rRNA from 1 species
CCUACGGGAGGCAGCAGUGGGGAAUAUUGGGCAAUGGAGGAAACUCUGACCCAGCAAUGCCGCGUGAAUGAAGAAGGUCUUCGGGUUGUAAAGUUCUUUAGUCAGGGAAGAAUAAAAGGACGGUACCGGAAGAAUAAGCUCCGGCUAACUACGUGACAGCAGCAGCGGUAAUACGUAGGGAGCAAGCGUUGUCCGGAAUGAAUGGGCGUAAAGGGUGCGUGGGCGGUUAUACAAGUUAGAAGUGAAAUACCCAGGGCUUAAACGGGGUGCUGCCUCUAAAACUGUAGGACUUGAGUGCAGUAGAGGUAAGUGGAAUUCCUAGUGUAGCGGUGAAAUGCGUAGAUAUUAGGAGGAAUACCAGAGGCGAAGGCGGCUAACUGGACUGCAACUGACGCUGAGGCACGAAAGUGUGGGGAGCAAACAGGAUUAGAUACCCCUGUAGUC